UUUGACAACAAAAUCAUUCUGCUAAAUGAAAUGAAUAUUGCUAAAUAUCCUUGUACAUGUUGUCUUUUGGUCUUCUGUUUGUUUCAUUUGAGAUGCAAGCACAAUAUGCAGCAUUAACAGGUCACUCCAAGAAGCCCCGUGGCAAACUGAAAGGCAAGUGAGAACAGGGAGGAUUUCGAGUCAAGCGCAGAGGCCACACGAAGAAGAAGCCACAGACAAGGUCCCAUUGGACUGGCCAGAAGCUAAUCUUGUCCCAUUAUUCAAGAAAUGAACCAAGAAUAACCCUGGAAACUAUAGACCGUCUGAGGAUGUGCCGGGGGUACACAGUGUCACCAGCCUAGCAUGCACCCAGCUUACCAACCCCUUACGAACCCAUGCGACUUUGGAACGUGACAAGAAACCACAGCACUGGGAGGAAACCCGUGCGGCCACCGGGAGAAGGGUGGAUGGGCUUCUGUCGUAGACCCUGAUCUGGAGCUACACUCAAACAUCAGUUCUUUGUGGUGGUGAGACCUGCUCACAACUGGUUGCUUUCUGAAUUCCCAAAGACACGGCCUAGAAGAUUAGCGUGCCUUUGGGGUUCUGAGGCUUUGCAGCCCCGUGGAUGGGCCGACUCUACGCCAGUGCCACCAACUCACGUGUCGCAGGAGACAACAGAACCCUGGGAGCAGCAGACCAGCUCUCAGAGGCUCUGGACUUGGCAAAUCUCACUCUCUCUCUUUCUCUUGUUGGUGGGAGAGAGUUUGUUGCUCAUUUGAGUCGAAAAACUUGGGGGGAGAAAAGUGACUCGACAUACUUUAUCGUUGCAAAUCAGUUAGUUUUGUUGUGUCACCCCUCUCAUUGUGAAAGGGAACACCUCUCUGCCCCUUUACUAGGGAGAGAGCCUGCAGUAUGUCAAAUUGUCAGGUGAGUGAUUACUUUUUGUUGUACUACAGAUCAUGGGCUUUCUUGGGGGCUUUGCCAUUGCUUGCUUGGUGGGUAAUGGGUGCUGAUGUUUUGCUAAGGUGAGGUGGGAAGGGGGAUGCUCAUUGCUUUGCUGCUGUUUGUGCGGAGGAGGGGGGUAGUGGGGGUCUUUGGGGUUCUGACGUUUCAAAUGUCAUUCAUUCUUUGGGGCACUCUUGUUUUCGCGGAUGUCUGUAAAGAACAAGACUAUCAGGACGUACAUCGCAUACAUUUCUCUGAUAUUAAAUAGAACCACUGAACUACUAUUGUAUUCCAUCUGCCUCUUCCUUGGCCAUUGUCCUAAUCUAUCCAAAACAGUUUGCAGAUUCCUCAAUACUAGCUGCCCCUCCACCUAUCCUUAUAUUAUCCAAAACUUGGCCUCAAAAACAUCAAUUCUGUCAUCUGUUACGAAUGAGGAGCAAAUCUGAUGGACAGAAGGGUCCAGAAUCGCCAAUGCCCACCCCCCCCCUCCUUUUUGAGAAUCGCAAGAUCGCUAUUAUUUCAGGUCUGAGACCCAGGAAAUGAGAGAGAUACACAGCAUGUCAGGAA